GGUGUGGCUCAGUGGUAGAGUACUUGCCUAGCAGGCACAAGGCCUGGGUUCCAUCCCAGCACC
rnacentral:tRNA from 1 species